GGUUAAGCGACUAAGCGUACACGGUGGAUGCCCUGGCAGUCAGAGGCGAUGAAGGACGUGCUAAUCUGCGAUAAGCGCCGGUAAGGUGAUAUGAACCGUUAUAACCGGCGAUUUCCGAAUGGGGAAACCCAGUGUGACUCGUCACACUAUCAUUAACUGAAUCCAUAGGUUAAUGAGGCGAACCGGGGGAACUGAAACAUCUAAGUACCCCGAGGAAAAGAAAUCAACCGAGAUUCCCCCAGUAGCGGCGAGCGAACGGGGAGGAGCCCAGAGCCUGAAUCAGCAUGUGUGUUAGUGGAAGCGUCUGGAAAGGCGCGCGAUACAGGGUGACAGCCCCGUACACAAAAGCGCAUGUGCUGUGAGCUCGAUGAGUAGGGCGGGACACGUGGUAUCCUGUCUGAAUAUGGGGGGACCAUCCUCCAAGGCUAAAUACUCCUGACUGACCGAUAGUGAACCAGUACCGUGAGGGAAAGGCGAAAAGAACCCCGGCGAGGGGAGUGAAAAAGAACCUGAAACCGUGUACGUACAAGCAGUGGGAGCACCCUUUGGGGUGUGACUGCGUACCUUUUGUAUAAUGGGUCAGCGACUUAUAUUCUGUAGCAAGGUUAACCGUAUAGGGGAGCCGUAGGGAAACCGAGUCUUAACCGGGCGUUAAGUUGCAGGGUAUAGACCCGAAACCCGGUGAUCUAGCCAUGGGCAGGUUGAAGGUUGGGUAACACUAACUGGAGGACCGAACCGACUAAUGUUGAAAAAUUAGCGGAUGACCUGUGGCUGGGGGUGAAAGGCCAAUCAAACCGGGAGAUAGCUGGUUCUCCCCGAAAGCUAUUUAGGUAGCGCCUCGUGAAUUCAUCUCCGGGGGUAGAGCACUGUUUCGGCUAGGGGGCCAUCCCGGCUUACCAACCCGAUGCAAACUGCGAAUACCGGAGAAUGUUAUCACGGGAGACACACGGCGGGUGCUAACGUCCGUCGUGAAGAGGGAAACAACCCAGACCGCCAGCUAAGGUCCCAAAGUCAUGGUUAAGUGGGAAACGAUGUGGGAAGGCCCAGACAGCCAGGAUGUUGGCUUAGAAGCAGCCAUCAUUUAAAGAAAGCGUAAUAGCUCACUGGUCGAGUCGGCCUGCGCGGAAGAUGUAACGGGGCUAAACCAUGCACCGAAGCUGCGGCAGCGACACUGUGUGUUGUUGGGUAGGGGAGCGUUCUGUAAGCCUGUGAAGGUGUGUCGUGAGGCAUGCUGGAGGUAUCAGAAGUGCGAAUGCUGACAUAAGUAACGAUAAAGCGGGUGAAAAGCCCGCUCGCCGGAAGACCAAGGGUUCCUGUCCAACGUUAAUCGGGGCAGGGUGAGUCGACCCCUAAGGCGAGGCCGAAAGGCGUAGUCGAUGGGAAACGGGUUAAUAUUCCCGUACUUGGUGUUACUGCGAAGGGGGGACGGAGAAGGCUAUGUUGGCCGGGCGACGGUUGUCCCGGUUUAAGCGUGUAGGUGUGUGUUCCAGGUAAAUCCGGUUCACUUUAACACUGAGGCGUGACGACGAGGCACUACGGUGCUGAAGCAACAAAUGCCCUGCUUCCAGGAAAAGCCUCUAAGCAUCAGGUAACAUCAAAUCGUACCCCAAACCGACACAGGUGGUCAGGUAGAGAAUACCAAGGCGCUUGAGAGAACUCGGGUGAAGGAACUAGGCAAAAUGGUGCCGUAACUUCGGGAGAAGGCACGCUGACACGUAGGUGAAGUGAUUUACUCAUGGAGCUGAAGUCAGUCGAAGAUACCAGCUGGCUGCAACUGUUUAUUAAAAACACAGCACUGUGCAAACACGAAAGUGGACGUAUACGGUGUGACGCCUGCCCGGUGCCGGAAGGUUAAUUGAUGGGGUCAGCGCAAGCGAAGCUCCUGAUCGAAGCCCCGGUAAACGGCGGCCGUAACUAUAACGGUCCUAAGGUAGCGAAAUUCCUUGUCGGGUAAGUUCCGACCUGCACGAAUGGCGUAAUGAUGGCCAGGCUGUCUCCACCCGAGACUCAGUGAAAUUGAACUCGCUGUGAAGAUGCAGUGUACCCGCGGCAAGACGGAAAGACCCCGUGAACCUUUACUAUAGCUUGACACUGAACAUUGAGCCUUGAUGUGUAGGAUAGGUGGGAGGCUUUGAAGUGUGGACGCCAGUCUGCAUGGAGCCGACCUUGAAAUACCACCCUUUAAUGUUUGAUGUUCUAACGUGGACCCGUUACCCGGGUUGCGGACAGUGUCUGGUGGGUAGUUUGACUGGGGCGGUCUCCUCCUAAAGAGUAACGGAGGAGCACGAAGGUUGGCUAAUCCUGGUCGGACAUCAGGAGGUUAGUGCAAUGGCAUAAGCCAGCUUGACUGCGAGCGUGACGGCGCGAGCAGGUGCGAAAGCAGGUCAUAGUGAUCCGGUGGUUCUGAAUGGAAGGGCCAUCGCUCAACGGAUAAAAGGUACUCCGGGGAUAACAGGCUGAUACCGCCCAAGAGUUCAUAUCGACGGCGGUGUUUGGCACCUCGAUGUCGGCUCAUCACAUCCUGGGGCUGAAGUAGGUCCCAAGGGUAUGGCUGUUCGCCAUUUAAAGUGGUACGCGAGCUGGGUUUAGAACGUCGUGAGACAGUUCGGUCCCUAUCUGCCGUGGGCGCUGGAGAACUGAGGGGGGCUGCUCCUAGUACGAGAGGACCGGAGUGGACGCAUCACUGGUGUUCGGGUUGUCAUGCCAAUGGCACUGCCCGGUAGCUAAAUGCGGAAGAGAUAAGUGCUGAAAGCAUCUAAGCACGAAACUUGCCCCGAGAUGAGUUCUCCCUGAGACUUAGAGUCUCCUGAAGGAACGUUGAAGACGACGACGUUGAUAGGCCGGGUGUGUAAGCGCAGCGAUGCGUUGAGCUAACCGGUACUAAUGAACCGUGAGGCUUAACCUU
rnacentral:rRNA from 1 species